UUGUUGUAACUAACACACUGGACGCCCUCACGUGGUCGGCUGCAGCAGCACGGAGCCGGCGAGCAGUUUUCAGGGGGGUCCCCGCCUGAAUUGGAGGGGCCGUGGCUCAAGGUACUGCGGGGUUCAGAAAGGGCAGGAUUUGGCCCGCCGGGGCCCCACCAAUGAUACCGGCCAUCAUCCCGUAACUUGAGUGCGGAGCUGAUUAGAAUCCCUACCCGCAUCAAGUCCUGAGGAAUGGGGUUUUGGGGCGAGUUCAAAAAACAAACGACGUAGCAGGGAAAGGGAUGCUGUCGGUAAAAGUUUAAGGUCAGAAGGGGGUACCGUUCGAAAGCUGCAGUUUACACGCAUUGGUGAAACGAGCGACGAGGCAGCUGGAGCCUCUUUUCGAAUAGAAUUGGGAGAAGCCAAAAGCUACAGUAAACUCCAGUUUCAAAGCAGCUUGAAGGAAGUGGAGUUUCAGAAGUCUCCCAGGUUAAGUGGAAUCUUCCUCAGUCUAUUCAAUCAUAGAAGUUAAGAUGCAGAAGGGAUCACCUAGUCCACGAAUGUCAAACUUAUGGCGUCACAUUGCCAUCAUGUGAUGGUUUUGUGACUUUUUUCCCUUUGCGGAGCUG